rnacentral:ncRNA from 2 species
UCACCAUCCAGAGCGGCCGAGAGUCCUGGCUCGUCGACGCCGCAGCAACCCCCCUCUCACGAGGGUGUGGGUGCUUCCGCCAGGUUCGAUGGAGU